rnacentral:misc_RNA from 1 species
GUGAAGAACGUAGUGAAAUGCGAUACGUAAUGUGAAUUGCAGAAUUCAGUGAAUCAUCGAAUCUUUGAACGCAUAUUGCGCUCUCUGGUAUUCCGGAGAGCAUGCUUGUUUGAGUAUCAGUAAACACCUCAACUUCCAUAUCUUUUUUGAAAUGGGAGUUGGACUUGAGUGAUCCCAACGCUUUUCCUCACCGAAAAGUGGCGGGUUACUUGAAAUGCAGGUGCAGCUGGACUUUUCUCUGAGCUAUAAGCAUAUCUAUUUAGUCUGCCUAAAAACAGAUUAUUACCUUUGCUGCAGCUAACAUAAAGGAGAUUAGUUCUUGUGCUGACUGAUGCAGGAUUCACAAAGACAGGCUUCGGCCGACUUUGUAAACUCGAUCUCAAAUCAAGUAAGACUACCCGCUGAACUUAAGCAUAUCAAUAAGCGGAGGA